rnacentral:rRNA from 1 species
GAACCGGCGCACGGGUGCGUAACGCGUAUGCAAUCUGCCUUCCACAGAGGGAUAGCCCAGAGAAAUUUGGAUUAAUACCUCAUAGCAUCAUGACCCGGCAUCGGGAUAUGAUUAAAGUCACAACGGUGGGAAGAUGAGCAUGCGUCCCAUUAGCUAGUUGGUAAGGUAACGGCUUACCAAGGGCUACGAUGGGUAGGGGUCCUGAGAGGGAGAUCCCCCACACUGGUACUGAGACACGGACCAGACUCCUACGGGANGCAGCAAUGANGAAUAUUGGUCAUGGGCGCCAGCCUGAACCAGCCAUGCCGCGUGCAGGAUGACGGUCCUAUGGAUUGGAAACUGCUUUUGUACCGGGAAGAAACCUCCUACGUGUANGACUUGACGGUACCGUAANAAUAAGGUCGGUUACUCCGUGCCAGCAGCCCGGUAUCCGAGGAUCCAGCGUUUUCCGGAAUCUUGGGUUUAAGGUUGUA